UUGGCCCUCAGUCAAGGCCAUCAGCUUGCCCUGUAGCUGUUGGUUUCAAACAGGAGCCCAGAGGAAGCAUCUCCCUGGUGGUCUGUUGGUGCUCCCUGGCCUGGGGGAUGACCAAUUCGUGUGGGAGAGACACAG